rnacentral:rRNA from 1 species
CCUACGGGGGGCUGCAGUAGGGAAUCUUCCGCAAUGGACGAAAGUCUGACGGAGCAACGCCGCGUGAACGAAGAAGGUCUUCGGAUCGUAAAGUUCUGUUGUUAGGGAAGAACACGUACCAUUCGAAUAGGGUGGUACCUUGACGGUACCUAACGAGAAAGCCCCGGCUAACUACGUGCCAGCAGCCGCGGUAAUACGUAGGGGGCAAGCGUUGUCCGGAAUUAUUGGGCGUAAAGCGCGCGCAGGCGGUUCUUUAAGUCUGAUGUGAAAUCUUGCGGCUCAACCGCAAGCGGUCAUUGGAAACUGGAAAACUUGAGGACAGAAGAGGAGAGUGGAAUUCCACGUGUAGCGGUGAAAUGCGUAGAGAUGUGGAGGAACACCAGUGGCGAAGGCGACUCUCUGGUCUGUAACUGACGCUGAGGCGCGAAAGCGUGGGUAGCGAACAGGAUUAGAUACCCCUGUAGUC